GCAAGUUUCCUCCAACGAUAAAUUAAUUGUAUUGAGAUGGUCGGAAUAGCUAUGUUUGUGACUUGAAAAAAAGUAGCAUCGAUACUCAUGAGCAUAGAGGAGCUGCUAUAUAUAUAGCCAGCGUUAUAUAUAGUUCCUCAAAACAGCCAGCCUCAUCUCCACCAUACUAUUGGAUUCUACAAAGGUGAGAAUGACAACCAAUGGCCUCCCUCACUCAUUCUAGAUAUAUACAUGCAUGAUGAUAUAUACGUUAGGAAAAGGAAGCACCGGGAGUUUUGUAAAAAAUCUUAGCAUGAUUUCAUGAUCCAUUCCCAUGGCAGGUAUCACAAGUUCUUGAAACUGUAGAUUAGUAUAGUGUGCUAGAGAGGGUCUGAUCAAAGCUUGUCCGUGGUAACACCGUUCCACAAGUUCUUGAAGAUUCUGACUGAGUACAACGUGGGCACAUUAUGAACCUUGAAGUUUUGAAGCAGCUGCACAGCUCGAAACAUUAGAGUGAUAGGUCAACGUGCGUAAGUUAGAUUGCCGUCAAAUGUGGAAAGAGAUGUGCUACACAUGUGAUCUCUAGAGCUCUGGC
rnacentral:lncRNA from 1 species